GGAAAUACAAUCUCAAACACAAAGGAAUAAGGGAUUACAAAAGAAAGGGAAAAUUUUAAGGCUUGAGAGUUUCAUCGUGUGUCCCAGCAAAGAACUGCUUUAGUUUUCUAUUGCUGUUAUUUAAUUUCUAUAUGAUGUAAAUCAAGAUACAUUUAUUAUUGCCCAGUUUCCCCGGGUAAAGGGUUCAGGUGUGACUUAAGUGGAUCCUCCACCCAGGGUCUCAGAGUACUUUAAUCAAAAUGUGGGCCUAGGGGUCCCUCUCAGUUGAGGAUCAGAGUUCUCUGGAAAGCUCACUCAGGAAAUCAGCAGAAAUCAAUUCCAUGUGGAUUUAAGGCUGAAGGCCUCAGCUCAGGCCCAGCCAGGACCAACUCCCUUUUGAUUAACUCGAAGUCAGUUGAUUAAUAGCCUGAUUACAGGAAUGCUGUCUCAUAUUUCCAGGUUUCACCCACUCUUAUGGGAAGGAGGUUUUGCAAGCACAUAAGUCAUCCAGGAUCAUCUUGGAUUUCUGUGUACCACAGGGGAAAUACCUGUCUUGUUCAUUACUCCCUAGUUUUCAGAACUUAACCUACCCCUGCAGCCCUGACAAGCCUGGGCCAGCAUGCUGAAGGACGAGACACCAUGUGGAGCAAAAAAGAACCAACUUAACUGAACUAUCUUAGACCGGUGAGCUCCCAGCUGACUUGGCAGUUGGCCACAGAGGCAUAAGGGAACACAGCAGAAUUUAGCCAAGCUUGACUGAAAGAAUCGUUGAGCUGAGUCCAGCCCAAAUGGCCAGCAGACAGAAUCAUGAAGUAAGUAAAUGGUUGUUACUUUAUGCCUUUAAGAUGUGUGUGUGGUGGAGGAUAGUUGUUACUUAGCAAAAUGGACACAUUUAGGUUCAACUCUCAGUUCUAACACUUAGGGCAUGUGUGAUGACAGGCAAUUUAACUAACCUUCCCAUGACAGAUUUCUCAUAUAUAAAAUGGAGAUAAUGUGGUAAUGAUUGAUGCUGUUCUCAGAUAUUUGAGUUUUCUGCCUUUGGGUGCUUAGUAGAUUUCAUCGUCUCCAGGGCUCUGUGAAAUUAGAUGUUGCCAUGUGACUUGCUUUGACCAAUUAAAUGUCAAUUGAGAGUCUUUAAAGACACCUGUGAAUUACAAACUAUGUAUUUCCCCUACAAUCCCAAUUUUUCAGAUGGGGAAGAUUUUGUCCUAAAGCAAGGAAAGCAUACUUUUAAAACCCCAUUUUGACCCACAAUGAACACUGAAAAUUUGUGGUUGUUUAUUACCGCUAUAAAUUCUAGCCUGUAUGAUUGAUACAAAAAUUAAUAGUACAGUGUGACAAUAUAUGUAAACCUCUAAGCACAAUACUUAGUACAUCUAAAGUAUUUAAUGUUAAGAAAUAUUAUUACUGCCCCCAGAUUUAAAAAAAAAUCCUUGAGAGAUAGGAUGUAAAGGUUUCUUUUAAAACAACAAUUAUCUUCUUAAUUGAUAUACAUAUACCAUUUCAAUAUCAUACUGCAAUAAAUCAGUGCUUAAAACUUUAUUUGGUCA
rnacentral:lncRNA from 13 species